UUGGUAACCAAGGCCCUUCUCAUUCUUCACUCUACAAACCCAUUUUGUCCUCAUGUUUCAGGAUGACAGCUGGAGAUCUAGACAUCAUGCUUGCAUUCUAGGAUGGCCGCAGAGAGAAAGAAACUUAAGAUUUCCUGCAGGUCCAGAAAGUGCCUACUCACCUUGUGGCCAGCCUGUCACAUUAGAGACGACAGCUUGCCUGAUCUGCUCAUUCCAGGUUGGUGUCAACUCAAGCCCCUUGCAUGCC
rnacentral:lncRNA from 1 species